GGGAGGGGCUGGGAAGCUAGGCUCGCAGCGGUCCUGCUCGGGUCCUGAGGCACCGAGGAGGUCGUCUGGUUGUCGCUCCUGCCACGCUCUGACUUCCUCUGUACAGGCCACCAGCGUCCUCCACCUGGACUAUCGUGGUUUUGUGCUCACUAGUCUUUCGGCCUCGGGCUUUGCCCCUCCCCCAUCUCGACCUUGCCACGGGAGAGCGGGAUCUUUGCCACCGGCCACUCCUACCACCUUUCCCCGAGGUCCAGCCUACCUGAAUUGCUUUCAGUUCUCCGAGGCAGGAGAAUCCACCUAGCUUCUGCAAUAUUUCCCGGUCUCCUGCUUUCUGAAGACGUGGCUUCCCUCCCUUCCCUCACCUAGCUCAAAGUGAAGGACCAGUUUGCAUCCCUACGUCCACCGUGCACCCAGCAACCUACGCUGCUGUUGCCUGUUGUGCCGCCAGAGUGUUAACAUCCCACAGCAGCUCUUCCUGCCUCCUGCUCACCAUUGUUCCCAAUUCCCAGGAUGGUCCUGGGCAGUACUGGUCGGAGCCCAGUAACCCUUUAAAUUCUUAAAUACAUAGU